UGCUGAUCUGAGGAGAUGAUAGGAAGACGAGUGUGCUUGACUCCAUACUGACUGGUUUUCUUUAAAUCCUUCUGACUCUGCAAUAAUUUAGAAUAUGAUGUUAAAUGAUGAAGAACAAAUAACUGAUAUUAUUGGAGUAGUUCACACUGUACCAGGCAUAUGUACAUCAUUUAACUAAUUUGACCCUCUCACCCACCCUUUAAGCAGGUGCAACCAAACAUUUCUGUAUCCUGAGCUCCACCUCUCUUCCUUAAAAUUUGCUGUUUUGUGCACUGGCGUAGAGAGUUAUAGUAUAAAGCCACAAUGACAAUGGAAGGUUACGGGACAAAGCCAGAAUGACAUAUAGAAUCAUCCAGAUGUGAACAAGUCUGCAGCACAUUUAAUACAUUUCCAUGAAGGAUCCUGGUGGGGUGCUGCUCAAGUUACCCACAGUGGAGAUCAGCUGGAGAAUCCAGCGGCCCAUUGCUUUGCCCUUCUCUGUUUCAUCUUACCCGUCUCCCACUUAACUGCUGCC
rnacentral:lncRNA from 1 species